GAUGAACGCUGGCGGCGUGCCUAAUACAUGCAAGUCGAGCGAACAGAUGAGGAGCUUGCUCCUCUGACGUUAGCGGCGGACGGGUGAGUAACACGUGGAUAACCUACCUAUAAGACUGGGAUAACUUCGGGAAACCGGAGCUAAUACCGGAUAAUAUAUUGAACCGCAUGGUUCAAUAGUGAAAGACGGUUUUGCUGUCACUUAUAGAUGGAUCCGCGCCGCAUUAGCUAGUUGGUAAGGUAACGGCUUACCAAGGCAACGAUGCGUAGCCGACCUGAGAGGGUGAUCGGCCACACUGGAACUGAGACACGGUCCAGACUCCUACGGGAGGCAGCAGUAGGGAAUCUUCCGCAAUGGGCGAAAGCCUGACGGAGCAACGCCGCGUGAGUGAUGAAGGUCUUCGGAUCGUAAAACUCUGUUAUUAGGGAAGAACAAAUGUGUAAGUAACUAUGCACGUCUUGACGGUACCUAAUCAGAAAGCCGCGGCUAACUACGU
rnacentral:rRNA from 1 species